GAUGAACGCUGGCGGCGUGCCUAAUACAUGCAAGUCGAACGCAUAGCGAAAGGUGCUUGCACCUUUCAAGUGAGUGGCGAACGGGUGAGUAACACGUGGACAACCUGCCUCAAGGCUGGGGAUAACAUUUGGAAACAGAUGCUAAUACCGAAUAAAACUUAGUGUCGCAUGACACAAAGUUAAAAGGCGCUUCGGCGUCACCUAGAGAUGGAUCCGCGGUGCAUUAGUUAGUUGGUGGGGUAAAGGCCUACCAAGACAAUGAUGCAUAGCCGAGUUGAGAGGACGAUUGGCCACCAUUGGAAUGAGAACCGGCCCCAAACCCUAAGGGAGGCCGCAGGAGGGAAUUUUCCACAAUGGGCGAAAGCCUGAUGGAGCAAAGGCGGGGGUUUGAUGAAGGCUUUUGGGUCGUAAAGCACUGUUGUAUGGGAAGAACAGCUAGAAUAGGAAAUGAUUUUAGUUUGACGGUACCAUACCAGAAAGGGACGGCUAAAUACGUG
rnacentral:rRNA from 1 species